AUGAACGCUGGCGGCGUGCUUAAUACAUGCAAGUCGAACGGAGACAUUAGCAAUAAUGUCUUAGUGGCGAACGGGUGAGUAACGCGUUGGUGACCUGCCCCGAAGAGGGGGAUAACAGUCCGAAAGGAUUGCUAAUACCCCAUGUGGUCGUUUGGAUUAGAUGCCUUAUGACUAAACGGAUUUAUUCGCUUCGGGAGGGGCCUGCGUCCCAUCAGCUAGUUGGUAGGGUAAUAGCCUACCAAGGCGAUGACGGGUAGGGGACCUGAGAGGGUGGCCCCCCACAAUGGAACUGAAACACGGUCCAUACACCUACGGGUGGCAGCAGUAGGGAAUAUUGGUAAUCUGGGAAACCGGGAACCAGCAACGCCGCGUGCGCGAUGAAGGCCUUCGGGUUGUAAAGCGCUUUUUGAAGGGAUGAGGAAGGACAGUACCUUCAGAAUAAGCCUCGGCUAACUACGU
rnacentral:rRNA from 1 species